UCCCCAUCCCCGGGGGUGGUACCCGGAGCCCCUGGAUGUCGGCACCGGAGCUGCGAUGGACGCCCCGCCGCCGAGGGAGAGCUGCUCCGCCCGCCCGCCCGCCCGAAGAGUCCCCGGGGCUUCUCCUCCUCUUGGGCCGACGCUCCGCUCACCCGCGGCCCGGAUGGGUAGGUUGCCUCGGCGGCCACGGCUGGAGCGAAGCAGCGUCGUUGCCUGAAUGCCCGAAAGAUGCCGGUGUGCACACCCGACAGGCAAACGCCUGUGUCAGAACCGUAGGCAGAACAGGCAGCAGGGCUGCGACAUUCCAUGGAUCUCCUCUCCCUCUGCCUUGGGCUUCCAGCGAGGUGAUGAACUUCCUGCCUUGCUGCUUUCCUUCGUCCCCACACCGAGAGCAACGCUUCAUGGCGCAGUCGUGCCGGGCAGAUUUUUUUUUUAAGAUCAUUCCUGUGCAACGUGGAGUAUUAGUUAUUGCAGGAGAAGCUGCAAAUAACUUGCUACGGAGGCCCUGGUGAAAAAUAAAAAUAGUGCUUCCCUGAAACAAAACCACCGAGGGAUCAGAAAUCUGAGGACUCCUUGGAUGAAUGGGAAGUAAGUGCUGGGAGUAUUCGGUGAUGUCGUGGGAGGAAGGCAAAAGCCACCCAGGCCCUGUUCCCUCCAUCUUGAGGCUCCCGUGGUGGUUUGCAGCAGCACAGGGAAGUAUGAAGCACUGAGGGAGUGAAGUCAGUGUUUCAACCUGACUUCACUUCAGCGCAGAACACCCCGCAAGGUUCAGAUCAAGGGAGGACCAGGGGUAAGAAUAGCAGAAGUACUUGAGGUGCCUCUUUUUUAAAAAUCCUCUUUUGGGUAUUUAAAGAUUAAGGAGCUAUUUAGAAAAGAUGACUCCCCACAUAUGUUCAUGUGUCUUAAUAAAAGAUAAUGGUCUGCAUUAUCUUCUGUGAUAGAUGCAUCUUGGGUGAAUCUGUAUCACCUUUCUGAUUUUGGGGGAACUGUAUUGAUUGAAGUUAGUUAAGGAACUAACCCAGCUGAGUUUUAAAUAACUGGAAUAAUAUUCUCCCUCUCUUUCAGUCAGGUUUGCCCUUCAUGUUACUUGUGUUUCAUAACCCUCCUAGCUCUCCGUUUCAUCAUUACAAGAGCAGCAUCUCUAUUGUAAAAAAAACCAGACAACUGAAUAAAAAACCCUACAAACCCCAAAAAAAAGAGAAGGAAAAAAAUCUCUUUAAACAGAGUCUUUUUGCAAUUUGAUCUUUAUUUUCAUUUUAAAUAAAUUCAGAGUGCAAGCUCA